rnacentral:lncRNA from 1 species
CCAGUGCUUAAGAGUACUAGCUGAUCUUACAGACAUACUGAAUUCAAUUCCCAGCAACCACAUUGUGCCUCCCAACCAUCAGUAAUGGGAUCCAAUGCUCUCUUUUCCUGUGUCUGAAGACCACUAUGGUGUACUCAUUUACAUAAAAUAAUUAAAUAAGAAUUUUUAAAAAUGGCAAAAAAAGAACUGAAGGAUCCUUGCAGUCCACUAACCCACUUUCAAUAGAAUGAAAGAGAAUACUAUACACAAAAGAUUCAAUCCAACGACCAGCUUUGAGGACAGCAGCAUGAAGAAUAUAGUGGUGUUUGUAGGAAAGAAGCUAUGUAGGGGCUGGAAGAUGGCUCAGCAGUUAAGAACACUGACUGUUCUCUUGAAGGUCUUGAGUUCAAAUCCCAACAACCACAUAGUGGCUUACAGCCUUCUAUAAUGACAUGUGAUAUCCUCUACUGGUGUGUCUGAAGACAGCUACAGUGUACUUACAUAUAAGUAAAAAAUAAAUCUUUUUAAAUUUUUUUAAAAGGAAACUAUGUAUGCAGGAGGUGACACAGCUAGAGGAGUAGGUAUACCUAAGACCUUAGAGUCAGGGCAAUUUCAUCAUAAUUUCAAAUUGCUGAACAAGAAGCUAUAAGUUUUGGUGUUUUCCCUGCUGAAUUUUGGUCUUGUUUGGUCUGUUUAUUCUUUCCUAUCCUCUGAUUUUUUUCUGGUAAGGUGUGCUUCUAUUAUAACACUGUAUGUUGAAAACAUAAUGGCUGUCUUAAGGAUAUAGUACAGUAUGGUCAGAUAAAAAUAGUUUUUACUUCUGAAAAAACUUGUAGUAGUUAAAUGAGAGUGGUUCCCAUAGACUCAUAUGUUUGAAAACUUAUGUUUAGUUUGUGGAGUUCUUUGGGAGAGAGAUCAUACAUGUAGCCCUUUUGCAAGAGGUCUGUCACAUGGGUACAUUUUCAGGUUUUAACAUCUUCUGACCAUGCCCAUAUUGCUAGCUACCUCUUGCCUGUGGAUCAAAACAUGAAUUCUCAUCUCUGCCUGAUGCCAUGUGUUUAUGCUGCUAUGAUUGACUCUAACACUUUGGAACUGUAAACCCGAUUUUAUGCCUUCAAUUAUAAUUUGUCCAUGGUGUGUUUUAUAAUAACAAUAGAAAAGUAAAUAUACACCCGUGUUGUGUGGAAGGUCAGAACCCAGAAAAUCCCCCCUUUCAACUAUAGGAACCAGGAUGGAAUACUGUUCAAACUUUAUCUCUAGAGCAGUUAUAAUCUGUCCUGUGUCUUUGAAGUUAGGCAUGAUCCCAAGAUUGACAAUUAUAGACUUCCCUGAAGAAGCAACCCCUUUAUGAACAUUCUCCUUUACUUCUAACCCAACCAAUACCAAAUCAUGAAUCAGGUCCACCUUGUAUUGAAGACUCUCAUUUAAGUAAUGGUGGCCCAAAACACAGGAUAAAAUAAAUACUACUCUUUAUUACAGAUCCAAUAAGUGUUGUAAAUUGUAGUUUAUUUAGUGAGUAAAGGUCAGCUGCAUUAUAAAUGAGAACCUGUC